UCGGUUGAGGGCACGUCUGCUUGGGCGUCACGC
rnacentral:rRNA from 1 species